rnacentral:rRNA from 1 species
UACGGAGGGGGCGAGCGUUAUUCGGAAUUAUUGGGCGUAAAGGGCGCGUAGGCGGCUUGGUAAGUCAAAGGUGAAAUCCCUCAGCUCAACUGAGGAAUUGCCUUUGAAACUGCCUGGCUCGAGGCCGGGAGGGGGUAGCGGAAUUCCCAGUGUAGCGGUGAAAUGCGUAGAUAUUGGGAGGAACACCGGUGGCGAAGGCGGCUACCUGGACCGGUUCUGACGCUGAUGCGCGAAAGCGUGGGGAGCAAACAGG